GCGGCUUUUUAUGCAGUGAAAGGACAUUAAGGAUGAUUGGAUCGGGCAGUGGGUGCCAUCUUGAAACGGGACUAAAGGGAAACGAGCGGCAUAGAAGCCCCAGUUGACGGUGACUGAAGUCAGCUUUCUUUCGACCGAUGUGGGAUAUUUAAAGACGUUAGGGAGUCAAACAAGCUUUCGGUGUACUAAAUAUAGAUGUCGGUAAAAUUAGUAUACAAUCAAUGACAAGCAGGAGGCGGUCAACUAACAGUUUAAUUCGCAGCGAGAGAGAGAGAAAGAAAUGAGAUGAAAAACCAACGGGAAUGUCUUUGUGUUAUAAGGCUUCAAAUGAUUCAUCUAUCGUCUGAUAUUAUCAGUUCUCAGCAAGGAUUUUUUUUUUAUGGGAGGCGGGGUUACAUUAAAAAUAGAAACGUCUUUGUCAGCUGAACAUUAAAUUUUUGCAGUUUUCUCAAGCCUAAAGGAAAACAUCGUCAGCUAAACAUAAAUGAAAGCUUAUCAAUCAAAGAGGUCAUAGCUUCAAUGUUUCAAGUUAUGGACGACGGCGACGAAGUGUUGUUCAGCUAUAUUUUAUGAGAACCGAGUACAAAUUAGAAGCAUGCCGACACAAGUGUGCCUUCAUCACCACUACCAUGAACUUUGUUUCCUCAUGCCUUUCAAAAACAUUGUCAUUUUUUGAUGAAAUUUUCUACAAUUCCCUUUCAGAUAGUGUAGAAUACUAUUAUAUUGGAAUUUAAUAUGGGAAAUAAAAAUUGGUGAGUGCACAUACAUUGAUGCUGAUACACAUCGCAUGCUACACCCUCUGUAAGAUAUUUGUAGAAAUGUCAUUAAACAAUAUUCAUUUUUCUGAAA